rnacentral:rRNA from 1 species
GACGAACGCUGGCGGCGUGCUUAACACAUGCAAGUCGAACGGUAAGGCCCUUCGGGGUACACGAGUGGCGAACGGGUGAGUAACACGUGGGUGAUCUGCCCUGCACUUCGGGAUAAGCCUGGGAAACUGGGUCUAAUACCGGAUAGGACCACUGCCUGCAUGGGUGGUGGUGGAAAGCUUUUGCGGUGUGGGAUGGGCCCGCGGCCUAUCAGCUUGUUGGUGGGGUGAUGGCCUACCAAGGCGCCGACGGGUAGCCGGCCUGAGAGGGUGACCGGCCACACUGGGACUGAGAUACGGCCCAGACUCCUACGGGAGGCAGCAGUGGGGAAUAUUGCACAAUGGGCGCAAGCCUGAUGCAGCGACGCCGCGUGAGGGAUGACGGCCUUCGGGUUGCAAACCUCUUUCAGCACCGACGAAGCGCAAGUGACGGUAGGUGCAGAAGAAGGACCGGCCAACUACGUGCCAGCCGCCGCAGUAA